AGUGAACACUGGCGGUAGGCCUAACACAUGCAAGUCGAACGGCAGCACAGUAAGAGCUUGCUCUUACGGGUGGCGAGUGGCGGACGGGUGAGGAAUACAUCGGAAUCUACUUUUUCGUGGGGGAUAACGUAGGGAAACUUACGCUAAUACCGCAUACGACCUACGGGUGAAAGCAGGGGAUCUUCGGACCUUGCGCGAUUGAAUGAGCCGAUGUCGGAUUAGCUAGUUGACGGGGUAAAGGCCCACCAAGGCGACGAUCCGUAGCUGGUCUGAGAGGAUGAUCAGCCACACUGGAACUGAGACACGGUCCAGACUCCUACGGGAGGCAGCAGUGGGGAAUAUUGGACAAUGGGCGCAAGCCUGAUCCAGCCAUACCGCGUGGGUGAAGAAGGCCUUCGGGUUGUAAAGCCCUUUUGUUGGGAAAGAAAAGCAGCAGGUUAAUACCCCGCUGUUCUGACGGUACCCAAAGAAUAAGCACCGGCUAACUUCGUG
rnacentral:rRNA from 1 species